UCUCAUUCCACUCUUUUAACUGGAAGUGAACUAUUUGGCCCUCUCUAUUUCACUUUACAGGAAGUAUAUUUAUUCCACUUGGGCAUAAUUUUAGCCCCUGUGCUCGCUCUUUCUUUCUUUCUUUUCUUUUUUUUUUGAGAUGGAGUCUCAUUCUGUCGCCCAGGCUGGAGUGCAGUGGCGUAACCUCGGCUCACUGCAACCUCCAUCUCCCCAGGUUUCAGCAUUUCUCCUGCCUCAGCUUCCCAAGUAGCUGGGAUUGCAGGAGCGUGCCACCAUGCCCAGCUAAUUUUUGUAUUUUUAGUAGAGACUGGGUUUCACCAUGUUGUCCAGGCUGGUCUCAAACUCCUGACCUCAAGGGAUCCACCCACCUCAACUUCUCAAAGUGCUGGGAUUACAGGCAUGAGCCACCGCACCUGGCCUCCUGUGCUCUUAUGUUGAAGUCCAGUCAUCACAGAGAGGUACACAAAGAAGGAUUACCACAGGAAAUCCAGAGAGGCUUUAGAAGACGAGCUUGCGUUGAGAUAGAAGCCGGAAGCCCACUUAGCCAACUGCCUCCAUGGGACUUGGCAUGAGGCAGGCUUAUGACAGUAAAUGCUACACUGCCCUCAGUGAAAAAGAGAAUUUGGCAUUCAUUCUUCUGAACCCGCCAUCCCUCAGCCUUGGCGCCUGGGAAUUCUGCGAAUCGUUGCCUGUGGCAGUGACACUGAUUUGUAUCUGGGUAUGAACUUAAAUGAAAACAUGAAUUGAACUCAUUACUUGAGGAAGGAAACACUGCCAAAUUUAACAGGAUGAAAUUCCAGCAGGGUGUAAGGUUUUAUGGGGCUACAGUGGAAUAUCUCAUAGAAAGGUUUCCAGUUCAUAAAACACUUUCAAAACAUGCUCGGCCCUUUUAAGUUGAAGGGACAUUAUCAUUUCUAUCUAUGGCAUUUCUCUGCAAAUUGAACUCAAAUAUCCUUUGGGCUGACUACACAGAGAACAGAAGAAAGAAGUGGAAGAAACUUGGACUGAAGAUUGCCUCCCUGAAAAGGUUUUCUUCAGGCAGAAUUAGGUGAGAACAAAUGACAUCAGAAAGUAGCAUGUCAGUAUACUGCUGCCAGCUCCAUAUGGUUCAGCUUGUUUUCACAGGUAUUUAAUUAAUUCCACAAACAUAUAUUGAGUAUCAGAUGUGGGAUCCUGUUCAACACAUUUGGGGUACAGUAGUCAAUUAGUCUACUCUCAUGGCACAUACAUGCUGGAAGGAGAGAAAAACAAUAAAUAAAUGAACAAAAGAUGCAGUAUCAGGUAGUGAUCAUUGCUAUCAAGAAAAAUAAAGCAAGAGAAAAUGGGAUAGAAGGUGUCAGGGGUGCGGGGUGACAUUUUACAUAGUGUGUUUGGCAAAGGCAAUUCUCAGGUGGUGACAUUUGAACAGAAGCUUGAAUGAAGUGACCUACAUGUUGAAUCCAGAAAGCUAAUUUUAUAUAUAUAUAUUUUUGGAAGGGGGCAGGAGAUAAUAAGCUAGUAAAAGGGUUGGGAAAUUAUUUUGAUUCAAGGAUGCCCAGUUUAAAAAACUGUAAGAGACAGCCCCUCUUUUUCUCCCAGUAUAGCGCUUUCGGUGGCCAUUUGAAUAGAGCUCUGCAUGUUUCCUUGGGAUUUUCUGGUGUUCAUGGCAUAACAACCAGCCAGCAGUCUUCUGGCUGGACCACGUUUUACUUGCUAGCAAGGAGCAGAAGCUGUGGAAAUUGGCAUGUAGAGAUGUAAAAGGAUUUUAUACUUUUCAGCCUGGGCAGAAAAUUAUAGAGAAAAGUAGGUGGGAGUCAGAAAAACAUGAAAUGAGAAAGAAAAGCAUAAUCUGAGUGAGUUCUCUCUCUUUUUUUUUUUGUUUUCUAUGUUUAUCUUUCCACAGCUUUUUCACUGGCUCUGUUAAAAAGCAAAUAUCACUGCAAACUUCAUUUCAUUUUCUCUCAACAGAUGAAAUAAAGCUUGUUAAAAUGUUUUUCCCUUCUGUCAGGUGCAAACUCCAUGUUAGCAGGUUUGAAAACUUUCACAUGUUCAGAUAGCAAUGGAGGUUUUAACUUGGCCAACAUCAACAAACAAACCAUGAGUCCCUCACGUGUGCAAUGCUUGCAUAGAAUGAAAUUGAGUAUGAGCAUGUUUGCCAACCCUACUACAAAUGGUUUAUUUAGAAUAGUAGAAUGUGAAAAAUACAGAUUUAUUUUUAAUAGCUAGUACCAUGAUGAUUAUUGAUUUUUUCUUCCAGAUUAUUAAUUUAAAUAGCAAAAUUAUGCUACAUGUUUAAAAUAUGUCUGUAUCCUGAAAGUACUUAUUGUAAGCUUAAGCCCAGUCUUAUUUCUAAAAAGAUAAUUUGUAGGAGGUAUAAUUUUCAUUUGUAUUCAUGUAUAUUAAUAUAUUUUUUGGUGUUACACUGUUGCAUGAGGAUAGCUGUAAGGUCAGGAUAUUUAGGAAACCUCUGAAUUGAACAUUGAGCUUGUGGAUCUAAUAUUUAAGUAACUGGUUUCUGUCUACGUACUCUUUUCUCUUCCGUGGUAAGCCCUGCAGGCAAGCUCACUUCUCUAUGUUCUCAGUUGUAAAUGAGGAAAGUAGGACGAGGUAUGGAGCUGGAGGGUAAAUGGCAGAAUAGAAGACAGAGUGCCAUUCUGCGUAAGAGCACCACCUUUUGUGUUUGGCAGGCUUGGUUUUAGUCCUGAUUUUUCCAGGUCCAAGUAUAAUCUGGAGCAUUUCUCAAAUUCACUAAACCUCAGUUUCACCUUCUGUAAAACGAAGCUAUUUCAUUGAGUUAUUUUGGGUUACAUAUGUAAAAUUUACAGCCAAAUACUUAACACUCAAGUCUGUCAAGAAACAAUUCCAAAUAUUUUAUAAUAAAUAUAUAAAAAACUUUCACAAUUCAUGGAAUUUACUUCUUGAUUAGUUGCCAUGGUCUAUGGUUAUAAUGAAAUGUACUCUUGGCAGUCCUGGAUAGAGAAGCUCUUGAACCACAACCACAACCAUUACCUUGGAGAUGUCGAAACUGCCCUUUUCCCCGAGACCAUCAUUAGUGCUUUCCACGAACCUGGAUGAUAACCUCACGUUCACCUUUCAAAGCCAAGAAUAACAAGAGAAUUGAAUGUAAUGAUAAUGUUUCUUCUUAAAAUUAUGCCAAAUCCGACUUAGUUGAUGUGAGUUCUGCUUUUUAAAUUAAAGAAAGUACAAAGUCUAUUUUGUGGGUUGGCUAAAAGGGCACUGGUUAAAGAAAACAAUGGUUAUUUGUUUCUGAUGUACAAAUGAUCCACACAGACACAUCUUUAGAUGAAACCCCAAAUUCUUUACUGGUUGGGUUCUACAAAGAGUGACAGUAGUAAUUUGGUGAAGCAGCAGGGGGCAGAGGACUCUUGGUGGUAAGUUAACUUGAUUCUACUUUGAAAACUCUG
rnacentral:lncRNA from 10 species